rnacentral:rRNA from 1 species
AUUGAACGCUGGCGGCAGGCUUAACACAUGCAAGUCGAGCGGGGUGAUGGUGCUUGCACUAUCACUUAGCGGCGGACGGGUGAGUAAUGCUUAGGAAUCUGCCUAUUAGUGGGGGACAACAUCUCGAAAGGGAUGCUAAUACCGCAUACGUCCUACGGGAGAAAGCAGGGGAUCACUUGUGACCUUGCGCUAAUAGAUGAGCCUAAGUCGGAUUAGCUAGUUGGUGGGGUAAAGGCCUACCAAGGCGACGCUCUGUAGCGGGUCUGAGAGGAUGAUCCGCCACACUGGGACUGAGACACGGCCCAGACUCCUACGGGAGGAAGCAGUGGGGAAUUUUGGACAAUGGGCGAAAGCCUGAUCCAGCCAUGCCGCGUGCAGGAUGAAGGCCUUCGGGUUGUAAACUGCUUUUGUACGGAACGAAAAGGUUUGGGCUAAUAAGCUGAGCUCAUGACGGUACCGUAAGAAUAAGCACCGGCUAACUACGUGCCAGCAGCCGCCGUAA